GACGAACGCUGGCGGCGUGCUUAACACAUGCAAGUCGAGCGGUAAGGCCCUUUUGGGGGUACGACGAGCGGCGAACGGGUGAGUAACACGUGGGUGACCUGCCCUCAGCUCUGGGAUAAGCCUGGGAAACUGGGUCUAAUACUGGAUAUGACCUUUCCUCGCAUGGGGUUGGGUGGAAAGUUUUUCGGCUGGGGAGUGGGCCCGCGGCCUAUCAGCUUGUUGGGUGGGGUGAUGGCCUACCAAGGCGACGACGGGUAGCCGGCCUGAGAGGGCGACCGGCCACACUGGGACUGAGACACGGCCCACGACUCCUACGGGAGGCAGCAGUGGGGAAGUAUUGCGCAAUGGGCGGAAGCCUGACGCAGCGACGCCGCGUGGGGGA
rnacentral:rRNA from 1 species